CACGUAGGGUGCGAGCGUUGUCCGGAAUUAUUGGGCGUAAAGGGCUCGUAGGCGGUUUGUCACGUCGGGAGUGAAAACUCGGGGCUUAACUCCGAGCCUGCUUCCGAUACGGGCUGACUAGAGGUAUGCAGGGGAGAACGGAAUUCCUGGUGUAGCGGUGAAAUGCGCAGAUAUCAGGAGGAACACCGGUGGCGAAGGCGGUUCUCUGGGCAUUACCUGACGCUGAGGAGCGAAAGUGUGGGGAGCGAACAGG
rnacentral:rRNA from 1 species